GAUGAACGCUGGCGGCGUGCCUAAUACAUGCAAGUCGAGCGAACAGACGAGGAGCUUGCUCCUCUGACGUUAGCGGCGGACGGGUGAGUAACACGUGGAUAACCUACCUAUAAGACUGGGAUAACUUCGGGAAACCGGAGCUAAUACCGGAUAAUAUAUUGAACCGCAUGGUUCAAUAGUGAAAGACGGUUUUGCUGUCACUUAUAGAUGGAUCCGCGCCGCAUUAGCUAGUUGGUAAGGUAACGGCUUACCAAGGCAACGAUGCGUAGCCGACCUGAGAGGGUGAUCGGCCACACUGGAACUGAGACACGGUCCAGACUCCUAAGGGAGGCAGCAGUAGGGAAUCUUCCGGCAUGGGCGAAAGCCUGACGGAGCAACGGCGCGUGAGUGAAGAAGGUCUUCGGAUCGUAAAACUCUGUUAUUAGGGAAGAACAAAUGUGUAAGUAACUAUGCACGUCUUGACGGUACCUAAUCAGAAAGCCACGGCUAACUACGUG
rnacentral:rRNA from 1 species